CUGGGUGUGGCGCAGUUGGUAGCGCGCGACUUUUGGGAAGUCGAGGUCGCUGGUUCAAGUCCAGUCACCCAGACCA
rnacentral:tRNA from 1 species